UGAGCAAUCUGCCCUUCUCAUCGGAAUAAGCGUUGGAAACGACGUCUAAUGCCGAAUACGACCUCCUUUCGCAUGAUCGGAGGUGGAAAGCUCCGGCGGAGAAGGAUGAGCUCGCGGCCUAUCAGCUAGUUGGUGUGGGUAAUGGCCCACCAAAGCGACGACGGGUAGCCGGCCUGAGAGGGUGACCGGCCACACUGGGACUGAGACACGGCCCAGACUCCUACGGGAGCAG
rnacentral:rRNA from 1 species